AUUGAACGCUGGCGGCAGGCCUAACACAUGCAAGUCGAGCGAGCGGCGGACGGGUGAGUAAUGUCUGGGGAUCUGCCCGAUAGAGGGGGAUAACUACUGGAAACGGUGGCUAAUACCGCAUACUAUCGGAUGUACCCAUAUGGGAUUAGCUAGUAGGUGGGUAAAGGGUCACCUAGGCGACGAUCGCUAGCUGGGCUGGGAGGAUGAUCAGCCAAACUGGAACUGAGACACGUCCCAGACUCCUACGUGAGGCAGCAGUGGGGAAUAUUGCACAAUGGGCGCAAGCCUGAUGCAGCCAUGCCGCGUGUAUGAAGAAGGCCUUAGGGUUGUAAAGUACUUUCAGCGGGGAGGCGUUACCCGCAGAAGAAGCACCGGCUAACUCCGUGCCAGCAGCCGCGGUAAUUC
rnacentral:rRNA from 1 species